rnacentral:lncRNA from 1 species
GAGUGAGAACACAGAGAUUUCAAAUCUGAGCGCCAAAACCAGGCCAGUCAUGAUUGGACCAAACAAUAGGAUGGGCGUGACCGCUGCCGUGACCAAAGACUCGUAACUUGUCUUCUCAACCUCGAGUCCGCUGCAGACCUUUCCUCUCUCCAUCGCCUCUGUCCACCUGGAGCUUCCCUCUGCACGCCUGGAGCCUCCACCACAGCCAGCAGCUGAACUAACGGGGACGUUGUCACAGAGAACAGGCCUGAUCACCCAUCUACUCCCAGCCACACGGCAGGAAACCGCCAGCUUAACCGCCUCACUCGCCGCCGCAUCAGCUGAUCACGACGCGAUCACCGCGACGCACACCUGGACCGAACCGCAACGGCGCAAGCAAGCACGCACGCAAUGCCAGAUUUUUCCACCAGGAUUGAGAACUGUAUGGUGGUGUACAUGAUGGCUGCCACAAACAACCAAUCUGCAACAGUUCUUCAUGCACUCCUUGGUGCCGUCCAGCAGUUUGGUUUGCCCCCAAGGGUGAGAUCGGAGGGAGAUGAAAACAUACAGUUGGCACACUUUAUGGUGCAAACCCAGGAAGAAAACCACAGUUUCCAUAUAGCUGGAAGAAGUGUGCACAACCAAAGUGAUUGCUGGUGUGUUGUUGGUCGUAAGCUUAUGGAAGCUAUGCCAAACAGAGGGAAUUUACAGAAGAGUUUUUUGAAGAAGUGGAGUUUUUGAUUUUUUGAUGUGUGUUUUGUUUAGCUCUUAGUCGUCCUAAGUGUCUGUCUUGUGUUUUAAAUUUAGAGUUCAUGUUGUCCGUUGUGUACGGAGCGUAUUAGUUAAAGUUAGAGUGUUUAUUUAUUUCUGCAUGAGCAGUGAUUUUCAAUUCUGACUUUUUAGUUUUAAUUUUAGUCCUGCCAAGCAGUAAAUUUAUGUUUAUUUUUUUUCCCACCUGUGUUUAUAUAUCCUGCAAGUGCAGUGUGUUUAAGUUUGUGUAACAUUUAAUAUAUCAUUAAUUGUUAAUUUCAGUUCUGUGCUGGGUCAUUGCAUUUGGGUUCUUCCCCUUCCCGUUUUCCUGUGCCCUGGGCUGCAGAUGCGGCCAGAGAAACAUUAAGGUUUAGAGUCAAGCCAUGCUGUCGCAACAGAGUCACAGCAGUGUGUUGUGUGCACUUGGGCCAUAGCAGCCUGUACCCCUACGCUCGGUUUGAAUUCCUUUUUUUCCGAGUUCAGUGAGAGAAGUAUUUCCCUGCUCGGUGUGAUUAUGGUAACAGUUCCUUAUCCACUGCAUCUCCUCAAGCCUCAAUGGUAGGUAACCGACGGGGGGAGUUUGUAACAGAUGUAAUCAACACUUUAUUGUUUGUCAUUUUUUACAAUGUUUAAAUUCAAGGUAUUUUAAAUACAGCAUGAUCACAGCUGUUCUGUGUUAUCUUAUUUAUGUUCUGACAGUAGAAUGGAACUGAAUAAAGGGAUCCAGACUGUAUUCUAGACUGUACUC